UGUACGGCUGUCUAAUAAUAUGCCGGUGUCGCAAUCUCAACUCGUACUUCGUGUGUCCUUUGUCUUUUUAGCUGCAGCUGGAGGCUUUGUGUUGUGGGAUGCUGUAACAGAAAAGAAGCGAAUGAGAGACGGGGUACUCAGAGAUAUAGAAAAAAUGCAACAAAAGAAACAGGAAUCUGAAGUGCAACAAAGGGAAAACUAACAAAAGUAGAGAAGACACUAAAAAAGGAAACUCACAAAAAGAGCUUUUCUCCAGGUGAUCUGAAUAACCUGAACAAUUGAGAACUUCAUGUUGAAGAAAAAAAGACUGAAACCAUAUUUCCCAUCAACAUGUGUACACGAAGUCUGCCUCUUAGAUUUCUACAAAAAAUAAAAUCCAUAUAUUAAAGAAGAGUAAUGCUUGGAGAGAUGGCUUGAACAUUGCAAAUGAUUGAGGUUAUACUAGUAUGGAAUAUGACCAUGGCUUUGACUUUCCUUUGUCUAACGAGUCGUAUUCAAGUGCUUUUGUAACUACCUACCCAUGAUUGUAUAUUGUGUGUGUGUUUUUUUUAAUUAUUUUAAGUUAUGAAUGAAGGUGUAUGCUGUACACAUGUCUGCAAGAGUGUUAGAGGUGUUUUUCUCAUUAUUUUUUAGAUGGUAUUAAUGGAGAAAAAAGUAAUGAUUCUCUGUGUUAUAUUGCUAGUUUUGUGCUUAGACCAGUAGUGUGUAUAGGGAUGGAUCCAGGGUUUUGCAGAAAAGUGGUAAAUGAAUGUUGAAGACACCCCUACCCCAACAAAUGCACCACUGGUAUAAUUCAAAUGAACCAUCAACACCUUGCAAUGUUGAAUUGUUCUAAUGUUUGUAUAAAUUAAUUUAAUGUGAGUCAACCAUGACAAUGCUUUCAGCCAGUUUCAAAAUAAAAUUUUAUUUUUUUCAAA